rnacentral:rRNA from 1 species
UACAGAGGUCUCAAGCGUUGUUCGGAUUCAUUGGGCGUAAAGGGUGCGUAGGCGGCGCGGUAAGUCGGGUGUGAAAUCUCGGAGCUUAACUCCGAAACUGCAUUCGAUACUGCCGUGCUUGAGGACUGGAGAGGAGACUGGAAUUUACGGGUGUAGCGGUGAAAUGCGUAGAUAUCGUAAGGAAGACCAGUGGCGAAGGCGGGUCUCUGGACAGUUCCUGACGCUGAGGCACGAAGGUCAGGGGAGCAAACGGG